GUGGUCAUACCCUUUUGUGUCCAAGAUUGUGGAUUUAAGAGGUCAUGAAGUCAGAGUCCUACAUCUUACUCAGAGCCCUGAUGGAUCAACGGUGGUGUCAGCUGCAGCAAAUGAAUCAAUUCGUUUCUGAAAGGUGUUUGAACCACUUCCAUCGGCCUCCUCAAGGAUGCGCAAUGAGGAUUAUACCAGCCCCCUGUCACUGAAAAGAUUCCACAUAAGAUGAGAAAAAUCUCUGUAAGCAGGGUGGUCAUGCCUUGUCGGGGUUUCCAAUCAAUCUGAGUUGUUGUUACAUGUCGGAAAUUGGUGGUUAAUUAGAGUAUUUAUGUAACGAGGAUUUGAUUCUUUUCCAUGCAUGUACGUUGUCCUUUGUAUAUUGGGACUAGGGAGGUUGGCAUCUUUUAUUUUCUUCCCCCAGCGUUGAAUGGUUUUGUGAAAUAUACAUUUAUUAUUCUUUAAAUUAAAGGCAAUAAUAUUCUUGUGUUAGAAAGAGGAUGAAUUGUC